CCCCCCCCCCCGCGCCGCCUCGCAUCACCAGUGCUCCUCGCCGGCUUCAGCUCCUCCGCGAAUUUAUCACAUCACCUGAGGGCUGAGGCGACUUCUGUUGCUGAUGGUGGCCAUGGCGAGGAAGGAUGACGAAGAGGGGCCCGCGGACCGCGUGCCGCACCUGCCGUGGAUGCGGUGCCCCGUCGACAUCGACGCCUUCUCCGGCUGCCCCGUCGCGCAGCUUCCCCGCCUCGACCCCAGAUUAGCAGAGGCUUUGCGGAGAAUGGGAAUUGAAUCAUUUUUUCCAGUUCAAGAAGCAGCUUGGGUGGAAACGAUUGGUCCUGGUGCUUUUGAGAGGGAUAUCUGUAUUAACUCCCCAACUGGAUCUGGCAAAACUCUAGCUUAUGCCCUACCUAUUGUGCAAAUGCUCUCCACACGGAAAGUAAGGUGCCUACGUGCUUUGGUUGUGCUUCCUACACGGGAUUUAGCCUUGCAGGUUAAAGAGGUUUUUGAUGCUAUUGCUCCUGUUGUGGGUUUGUCGGUAGGUUCAGCAGUUGGCCAAUCGUCAAUAGCGGAUGAAGUUUCCAAUCUUGUCAUGAAGCCCAAACAAGAGCUUUACCCAACUAUUGAUGAAGAAUAUGUUAAAAUGGAACCACAGACUAAAGUUGAUAUAUUGGUGGCAACACCUGGAAGACUGAUGGAUCACAUUAACAUGACAAACGGUUUCAGCCUGGAGCAUCUUCAGUACCUGGUCAUUGAUGAAACAGAUAGGAUGUUAAGAGAGGCUUACCAAUCCUGGUUGCCAACAGUGAUCCAACUUACACUCUCAAUUGGCAAAGAUCAUUCCUGGCACGACACUGAUGGGAAAACUCUACUUCAUCCAUUGACUACUAUUAGAAGAUCAGGUGUUGAGCGUGGGUUUAAAGGUAAAUGCUAUCCAAGAUUAGCAAAGAUAGUUUUGUCUGCUACACUGACUCAAGAUCCUAGCAAGCUUUCUCAACUCGAGUUGCACCACCCCUUAUUGUUGAAUAGUGGGAAGAAGCGUUACAGAAUUCCUACAAAACUUGAAUCCUACAAACUGAUUUGUACAUCAAACUUAAAGCCACUAUCACUCAUUGUUCUUCUCCAAGAGCUGCAAGGGAACAAGUGCUUAGUUUUUACCUCAUCUGUAGAAUCAAGCCACAGGCUAAGCACGUUGCUGGGAUUUUUUGAAGACUUGCCCUUUAAAUUUAGUGAAUAUUCACGCUUGCAGCGAGAAUCUACUCGAAGGAAGACACUGGAGGCCUUCAAGGGAGGGGAAAUCGAUGUUCUAAUAGGUACUGAUAGAAUGGCUCGUGGAAUACAUAUUGAUGGUUUAAGAUAUGUUAUCAAUUAUGAUAUGCCACCAUAUGUGAAAACAUACAUACAUCGAGCGGGUCGGACUGCAAGAGCAGGGGAGUCUGGUUCCUGCUUCACCUUUUUAAGAAAACAUGAGGUUAAAACUUUUGACAAAAUGCUGAAGAAGGCUGACAAUGCUAGCUGCAGUCUUCAUUCAUUGCCUGAGGAAUCAAUAGAAACACUUCGUCCAGUUUUCUCCAUAGCUCUGAAAAAACUGGAAGAGUCUCUGGAAUCAGAAGCAGCAAAGAAAUCUAAUCCAGGAGAUAAAAUCCCAAGUGGUUCUAAACGAAAGAGAACAAACCAGAAGUGAAGCAAUAGAUUAGCUUAAGUUCUGAAGUAUUGAUGUCGCAUCUGCAUUUGCUACAGAGAUCCAGCAGGACUUCUUAUAACUGGUUCGUCUAUCAUUAUGGAUACCCAAAGUAAGACGGAUGAUUUCAUAUGUUUGCUGUGCAUUCCUCUGUCCUACCUCAGGGCAACUUUCGCCAUGCCUUCAACUGGCCGAUCCAUUUUGAUGAAUGGUACAGUAAAUUUCUCGGUCAUGGACAGUUGGAAAAGCAUCCUUCUUCCCUUCUGUGGUGUUCAUCAUUCACUGUGCAUUUAUGGCUGGAAGGAGGCCACCCCAAAGAAAAAGUUGGGUACCUUCACAUCAAUGUAUCGGCACUCGUAACCUUUCAGUUAUGCUUUACACUUGGAAUAUUCCUUUCUGUCUUUGUCGAUAAAACGGUUUUUACUCAAUUAUUUAGUGCCAUUGAUCGGGAAAUGUCAAACUAGCAUAUCACUCGGCUGAACACCCCAUUUCCUUCUCUCCAACUUUCAACGUGA